rnacentral:tRNA from 1 species
GGAUUGUGGCUCAGUGGUAGAGCGCUCGCCUGGCACAUGCAGGGCCCUGGGUUCGAUCCUCAGCACCA